GAUGAAGAACGCAGCGAAAUGCGAUAAGUAAUGUGAAUUGCAGAAUUCAGUGAAUCAUCGAAUCUUUGAACGCACAUUGCGCCCGCCAGUAUUCUGGCGGGCAUGCCUGUUCGAGCGUCAUUUCAACCAUCAAGCCCUGCUUGCGUUGGGGUCCUGCGGCUGCCCGCAGGCCCUGAAAACCAGUGGCGGGCUCGCUAGUCACACCGAGCGCAGUAAUACAUCUCGCUUUGGGCGUGCGGCGGGUUCUUGCCGUUAAACACCCCCUUUUUACCAAGGUUGACCUUGGAUCAGGUAGGAAUACCCGCUGAACUUAAGCAUAUCAAUAAGCGGAGGA
rnacentral:misc_RNA from 1 species